AAAGUGUGCUUCCAUCUGCGUUGUAGCCAUGGAUUUCAUUCUGCUAAUCGUAUGGCUGAUCUCGGUGUUCGGAAUUGGUGUGUACUUGCGACGAUGAUGCUUGUCCUUCUUCGAAAAAUACUUGAUCUUGAGAUAGGGACAUUUGUCCUUGAGACGAUGACGCUUGUCCUUCUUUCACAGAUACUUGCUCGGCGGACUCUUGCUCGGCUAAGCACUCAACAGAUGUUGGUAGUGCAUUGGUCGAUGGUUCAACGACGAGCAGCGUUAGCACGGGAUUGCCGUCAUUUGUUCUUUGCUUUUUCGAGACUUAAACAUUGAAAGUCUCAUCUUGCAGAAUCUUUUCCUUUUUUAAUACUUGAACUUUGGGCUCGCAAGGAGAUUGAUGCUCGUUUGAUCGAUGCUCUCGACAGGGAUAACUCGACGGAGGUCGGGGUCAAAUGUUGAGGCGAGGACGGCCAGGGCGUCAGCCGGUGCGUUGUCGGUGCGGGGGAUUUUUGUUAAUUCGAAUGACUUGAACGAGUCAGAUAGAUCUUGGACGACUUUAAGGUAAGCGUCCAUUCGGUCGUUCCUGACUUCAUAAUCACCGCUGAACUGGUGGGUCACCAGCUGCCAGUCUCAUUCCUGCGAUGAGGGUUUCGUAUUCGGCCUCGUUGUUUGAGGCAGGAAAGGCGAGCCGGAAUGACUGCUCGAGCACUUCACUUGUUGGCGAAACGAGGUGUAUGCCAAUCCAGAGCUGUGUCGUGAGGACGUGCCGUCAACGUGCAACGUCCACUUCUCUUCUCUCGGGGCGCCGGACUCUAGUUAAGGGGAUAGCUAGACCAAGAAGUCAGCAAGUACUUGAGAUUUCGCACAAGUGCGAUCCUCGUAUUCAAUAUUGUAUACGCUUAAUUCCACCGCCCAUUUGGCGAGGCGGCCUUGUUUACUUGGGCUGUGCAGAAUGGUCCGCAGGGGUUGAUUGUUCAAGACUUCAAUAGUGUGGGAUUGGAAAUAUGGUCGUAGCUUCCUAGCUGAGAUAACUACAGCGUAAGCGAGCUUCUCCAACGUGGGAUAGCGGAGCUUGGCUCCGACGAGACUUUUACUUACAUAGAAAAUUGGGUGCUGUUCUCCCCUGUCCUCCUUGAUCAAUACGCCACUAACUGCCGAACUGGAUACGACAAUGUACAUAUAUAGCAUUUCGCCCUGAUCGGGCUUUGCUAGGACGGGUGGAGUAGCUAAAUAGUUCUUGAGUUCCUGGAAGGCGGACUCACACUUAUCAUCCCACUCGAACUUCUUGUUGUUGCGAAGCAACUAGUAAAACGGUGGACACUUAUCAGUAGAACGUGAUAUAAAUCGGUUGAGUGCAGCGAUUCGCGCAGUAAGGCGUUGAACUUCGCGAGUAUUAAGCAGGGACGGAAGGUUAGUAAUCGCCGAUAUCUGUUUCGGGUUUGCUUCGAUACCCCUCUUCAUGACGGGUUAUCGUAGGAACUCUCCAGAAGUCAUGCCGAAAGAGCACUUGGCUGGGUUCAGGUUCAUAUUAUAUAUGUUAAGUACUUCGAAACAUUGAGCGAGGUGCAAGACAUGAUCACUGGCACGGGUUGAUUUGACCAGCAUAUCAUCGAUGUACACUUCCAUAGUUUGCUCUAGCUGCUCGGCAAACAUAUGGUUAAAAAGACGCUGGUAGGUCGCACCAGCGUUUUUAGGCCGAAUGGCAUGACCUUGUAGCAAUAAGUUCCGUGAUCAGUGAUGAAAGCUGUUUUUCUCCUGAUCGUUCUUAUGCUUCAUAAUCUGGUUAUACCCCGAAUAUGCAUCCAUGAACGAUAGAAGUUCGUUCCCUGCGGUUGCCUCGACUAGUUGGUCGAUUUGCGGUAGGGGAAAGCUAUCCUUCGAGCACGCCUUGUUGAGAUCAGGGAAAUUGACGUACACCCGCCAUUUGCCGUUCUUUUUCUUUACCACUACUGGAUUGCUUAACUAGUCGGGGAACUUAACCUCUCUAAUGGAUCCAACAUCGAGCAACUUUUUGACUUCCUCAUUGACGGUGGUAGUGCGCUCUGGACCGAGGUUUCGUCGCUUUUGUUUGAUUGGCUUGAAUGUCGAAUCCACGUUGAGCUCGUGGCAGGUUAUGAUUGGGUCUAUUCCAGUCAUGUUGCUCAUAUUCCAUGCGAAGGUUGUGGCGUUCUGACAUAGGAACUUCACGAGCUUGUCCUUAAUGAACUGUGGCAGGUUGGCACUGAUCCCCAUGCAACAACUUGUGUCGUUCGAUAAUGAAGCAGGUUCUCGCUACCAGUGGAUCUCCUCGUAGCGUAAAUACUCCUCUAGAGGUCGGGAACUUUAGGCAUUGAUGAUAAGUCGAUGCCACUGCUUACAUUUUAUGCAGCGAGGGCGUGCCGUGAAUGACAUUGUACACGAUCGGCUUGUUGACGAUAGCGAAAUUGAUGCCCACCGUCAUAACCGUGUCACCAUCGAAUCCGGUGAGAGGUUGGACAUCGUGCUCGGCCGUCCGUAGGUCAACCUCCAUUUGGAUGAGCACAUCCUUAAAAAUAAUAUUGACCAAGCUGCCUCUGUCGAUCAAGAUUUUAGUGACCACGCUUUCACCAAUUUAUAUCUAGACAACCAGCGGGUCGUUGUGCGGCGCACUUAGACCUGCUGUGUCUGCCUCAGUAAAUACAAUCAGAAAGUUCGUUGUAGGCUGCGUACUUUGUGCUAACCACUCCCGUUAAACCUCCACUCCCCGCCGGUAAGCUUUGAUUGAACGGACCGAAUCUCGGCAGGUCGCCAGACCGCCCAUGAUCAUAUUAAUUUGUCGGUGGCGCGGGGGCAGAGUCUCGGUUCCGUGUUGUGGCGCGGGGGUAGUGUCAUACCGCUUACUCGGAUUUUUGUUCUCGGGGUUAAAGAAGUUGUUUUCCUUGUGGGCUGCUAUUUGUCUCUGCUCGAGGUCGACGUCGAUUUGGCCCUCUUUGAAUUUGUCGAGCAAAACGGACUAGAGAGUGCGGCACUCACAAUACUUAUUUCUACCUUUACCCAAUGGAUCCCGGACCCACUUGUUAUUCCAAGGUUUUGAUGAGGACACUUGGGGAUUUUGGUUGCUAACAGCGAAUGCUUGACCUUUCUUUCGUUUUUCUAAUUUAUCGGAAUACUAUUUGUCAAAGUGUUGACGAGGCUCUUGAUGCCCUCUCUUCGUCUACCUUGAUUUAUUUGUUAGCGCGGUGCAAUGCAUCGUCCAAAGUUAGAGGCUCGUGGAUUAUGAUGUCUUCCCUAAAUCGGGAUCCGUGAGCAAGAGCGUUACGAAGGGAAGAGACUGCCGUAUCGUCGGCUAUUAAAAGCUUCAAAACGAUCCUUUUGAACCUUUCCAUAAAGUCCCGAAGCGAUUCGUCAUUCUGCUGGAACAUAUUCUAGAGAUCAGCAUUUGAGGCACCUCUAAUCAUAAACGUAGAGUGAUGCUGGAGAAAGGCGGUGGUGAUUUUGUGAUAGCUUCCUAUCGAGUUCAUGAGCUAAAUUCUCGACAAACAACUGGCAGCAGCCAGCUUCGUAUUCAUCUUCGCUGAAAUGAGCUCGGCUAAUUGCAAAGCACAUUAAAGUUAAAAAUGGUUUCAGAUCAUCCAAUCCGUUGUAUGGGAUAAACUUGAACUUGUUCAUGUAACGGACGCGAACGCGGGAGAUCCUUGCCGUAAACAGCGAGCAUUGGACUUCCUCGAGUACUCGAUAAGGAUUGGUGGACUCUUGAGGAGAUUUCAUGGACCAUCGUCUCUAAACGUCGUAUGGUUUCGUCCUUGAGAUCUUCGUCAAACUGUCGGCACGGCAGUGUUGGAGUCGGGGGACUCCCGCUUCGCCGGCCCCGGCUGUCCCGAUGCUCGUCAGUUGGCUCCUCUCUGUUGUGUCUGUCGACGGAUCCUACGAUUAUAGACGCGGGGCGGCGUCUGUGGCUCUCAUAUCGGUCUUUCACAAAUAGCUGCGGAGGGGCAGGAGGAUUCUCGUUUUGAUCGGCAGGAUUGCUCUCAUUUCGGCGCUCGCUCCUCCUUCGCUGGAGCCUGCUGAUCUGAUUUUGGGAGGCCUCUUGUGCAGCUGCAAUCACCUCGAGCCGUUUGUUUGUUCUGUCGAGUUGAUCGAGUAUGGCUUGCAUCAGGUCGUCGAGUUCACUCCUUCGUGUUGUGGGCAAGGCGUUUGGGAGAGCAGCAGUGUUGGUGACCAGUUUUUCUGCGACAAGCCCAGGCUCGGCGUGUGCAGCGACGAGAGGUUCAUAGGGCACGUCGGGCGCUGUCGGAGAGGUUGUGUUGUUCGGUAGGGAGCCUUCGAUUGAGGUCGUCGUGGAAGGUAGAGGCGGGACAGUGUGUGUUCUUGUUCACCCCCAUCGUUGCUCCAUUGUCUGUUCGGACGUGAUGUUGAGAUCUUCACUGGAGUUCGUCAUUGGUCUUGAAUCUUCGUGGAAAUGCGGACUGUUGGUCUUGAUUCGUAAAAAAGAAGCGCUCUACUCUAGCCCCACGGUGGGCGCCAAUUGUUUGUACCGGGGAUUGCAAUACUAAGUAAAUUAGGUUUCGAGGAAAGAGUGAAGCUAGUUCUUUUAUUAACGAGGAAACGUGAGGUCGUCACUAACAGAGAGUCAAGAUCGAGCUCUUCAGUUCACAAGAGAAUUAACAAGCUAAUAAUGACGAGCUAAAAAGUGGAAACGGAUUACACAUAAAACAAUAACAGAUAUCGAUGCAAAGUACUGCUCUCCGGGUAAUGUCAAGGGAUCAGGAUGAUGAUCCCAAUAAAUGCUGCUUCCUUUUAUAGGCGACUGUUGACCUAGGACUCCCUAUGGUGUCCAACGCGGAUUUCCGAAACUACCCUCUAUGGAGAGUUAAUGACUUUCUCCCAAUUUUGUCGGGCCGAGAUCACAAUUAAUGAGUCUUGUUCGGCCGAGUGGCAUAUUGGGCGCAGCCCAUGUCCAACAAUACUUAGCAGUUGGCGUACGCGCCCAUGUAUUGUUGUAGGCUGCUCCACAGUAGGCUGCUUAGCAGUUGUAGGCUGCUCCACAGUAGGUUGCUCCACAGUAGGCUGCUCUACCUCAGUUAUAGUAUCAUUGUAGGCUGCUCUACAAUGAUACUAGUCAACCUUAUUUACUUAGUAUUGAGCAAGAUAGGAUACAGAUGUGUGAUGGCACAAAAUCAAUUUCUCAUGUUUCUCAGAAUCUGGCAAUUUAAAAUCAAUGGGUGAUUCUAACAAACAUAUUAAUGGCAUAUCGGGAGUUAAGUGACAAAAUGGGGGAAAAAUUGCCAGAUUUUGAGAAACAUGAGAAAUUGAUUUUGUGCCAUCACACAUUUAUGUUCUAUCUUGGACGCUCCUAGUAGGCUUCUUUACAAUGAUAUUGUAACUGAUUCAUUCAUGAUUGAUAAGAAGUUUGUCAAGUGUCCUGGUCCCAACUGCAACAUGCUUUGUUUUUCCAGUGACGUUGAGUGUGUCUUUCAUGUCAAUUGCCGCGUUUGUCAGUCCACCUUCUGUCCAAAGGCUCUAGUCAACAUGAGCGUACUUUUUUCUCCAUGAGUGUGGUAAGCGUCAAUCUUGGGGCAUCUCUCAGACUAUAUACAUCAGUUAUCUUGACAAGAUUGGAAGGUAUAUUCCUAAUGAGCACCCUCAACCACAAAUACAAGACUUGAAAAAAAAAUUAAAAUAUUGAAAGGAGUUAAUAAGCAGGUGAUCAUAAGUAUAAGCAUAUGUUAAAGAGAGAGCUCAUAUAACUAACAAUACCUCUCUUUGUCUUGUGGAGGCAAACUUGAACUUGACAUUUCUGCAAGAGACAAUAAAUGCAGCUAGAUGCCACCAAUUCCUACGAGUAGACCUUUAUAAUACCGCAAAUCCUUAAUCACUCGACUAAUAAGAACAAGAACAAGGGAUUCUUCUAAUAACAAUGAGAAUGGUGUAGCAGCGCACUCAAGGACACAAAGCUAGUUCCUAAAAGAUUACAUUGAUAUCUCAAUAGUAACUCUAUUAUGGAAGAAUAUAAGAAAAUAAUCCCUAGGAACUUGAUGUUCAUCGUUUGUGAGAAUAAAUUGGUUCCAAACCU